AAGUCGUAACAAGGUUUCCGUAGGUGAACCUGCGGAAGGAUCAUUAACGUAGUUUUGAUUUGGGAGAGGAGUUCUUUUACUUCUCUUUUCCAUUUCUUCACCACAUGUUGUGCUCUUAAAAGAUUGUCUUUGGUGGUUAAACUCAUUUGUUUGAGGCACCCGUUCUGGUUACCCAGAACCAACUCGUUGUUUUUUUUUUUUUAUCUUCUUUUUGCAUGUCAUUCAUGUCAUUAAGAGAGCAAAAAAAAAACGACAAGUACAAAAGAAGUUGGAGGCUUGUUCCUUGAAUUUGUUUUUGUUACUUGGAAGAGGGGCCACCGCUUUUUUUAAACAACUUUUUUUUGUCUGUAUAUAUCUUUAUUCUGUUGAAAUAUUCAAAACAUUUUAACAAGAAACAACUUUUGACAACGGAUCUCUUGGCUCUC
rnacentral:misc_RNA from 1 species